GAUGAACGCUGGCGGCGUGCCUAAUACAUGCAAGUCGAGCGAACAGACGAGGAGCUUGCUCCUCUGACGUUAGCGGCGGACGGGUGAGUAACACGUGGAUAACCUACCUAUAAGACUGGGAUAACUUCGGGAAACCGGAGCUAAUACCGGAUAAUAUAUUGAACCGCAUGGUUCAAUAGUGAAAGACGGUUUUGCUGUCACUUAUAGAUGGAUCCGCGCCGCAUUAGCUAGUUGGUAAGGUAACGGCUUACCAAGGCAACGAUGCGUAGCCGACCUGAGAGGGUGAUCGGCCACACUGGAACUGAGACACGGUCCAGACUCCUACGGGAGGCAGCAGUAGGGAAUCUUCCGCAAAGGGCGAAAGCCUGACGGAGCAACGCCGCGUGAGUGAUGAAGGUCUUCGGAUCGUAAAACUCUGUUAUUAGGGAAGAACAAAUGUGUAAGCAACUAUGCACGUCUUGACGGUACCUAAUCAGAAAGCCACGGCUAACUACGUG
rnacentral:rRNA from 1 species